AACGGGCUCAACCAGCCCAUGUGGGUUUGUUUUGAUUUUCAUUUAAACACAUGGCGUCUAAGAAGUGAAAGAACAGAAAUGGAGUUUAGAUUUAAUUUUUCUUGUGAUCUUGAAGAAAAAGAUGGGACAAAUUCAACAAAUACAUGUUCAGUUGAAGAAAAGACUGAAAAACUUGAAGACUUCCAAGAAUUAUUUUCAAGCAAAUUAGACAACAAAAUAUUAUCACAAUUUCAUCAGAGCUCCUAUAAGUUUUGCAAUGUUGAUAUAUCUUGCUACAAGUGUGAGGAUAUAGAACAAUGGAUUGUAGAAAACAAUUCAGCAGAAGAAUCUGUAGUAAAAUCUGCUGCAGCAUCUCACUCAGAUCUUUUACCUGCUGUUUACGAAGUUUCCAUUGUAAUUUGACUGCAGGUGGUUUGACUGUUUGGGAAUGUGGAUGUGAUCUUGCAGAAUUCAUUUCUGGGGAAGGUAUAGACUUCAGAGGAAAAUCAGUAAUUGAACUUGGAUGUGGAGCAGGUUUGCCAGGAAUAUGUGCCAUGAAAUGUGGGGCGGAACAAGUGUACUUCCAAGACUAUAACUCUGAAGUGAUAUCUUACUUUACUAUCCCAAAUGUCCAGCUGAAUGAAACAACAUGUCAGUGCAGGUUUUUCUCUGGUGACUGGGGAGAAUUCCAAAAGUAUGCAAGGAAUCAGCCAGAUAUGAGAUUUGAUUACAUUCUGACUGCAGAAACAAUUUACAGCUCGGAAAAUUAUCCAAAACUUCACAGCCUUCUAGAAACCCUACUUAAAGUUGAUGGAAAAAUAUUUUUAGCUGCUAAGUCUCAUUACUAUGGAGUUGGCGGGGGAACAAGAUUAUUUGAAGACUUUAUCACUAAGGAAGAAAAUUUCACAUACGAGUCAGUCAAAGUUAUGGAGGCUAGUGACGUCAUAAAUAGACAGCGACUGAGCAAUGAUGACUAAAAUCAAGAUUAAAGUGAUAGGCAUCCUUUGUACAAUGAUUUAUGAAGGCUUGAUUUUCAUACAACACUACUGUAUGAUGCACAGGUAGUGUAUAUUCAAGUUUGUUCAAAUCAUGGUCCCCCGGGGUAGGGUUGCGCCACAAUGGGGGAUGAAAUUUUACUUUGGAAUAUAUAGAGAAAAUCUUUUAAAAAAUUCUUCUCAAAAUCCAUAUGCAUUAGACCAGAAAAACUCAUAUUUGUGUGGAAGGAUCCUCAGGUAGUGUAGAUUCAAUAGCCUCUUGUUUUAGCUUACGGGGUAAUUGAUGUUCAAUAUUGCUCCAUUUAUUACCUUGCUUGAUUGCUUAAUUGCAAGCAAUUAUCUGCAUGCCCUGGCAGAAUUUGAAUGAGUUUUCAUUAAUGUCAUAGUUUAUUACUUUUUUUUUGUCAAGCUCAUAAACUUUUACUCCUUACAUGUACUAGCUAUUAAACUAUACUGUCUUUUCAGAUGUACCUAGGGAAAUUAUCAAGUUGGAGAGGAUCUAAUCAUUACCCCAGUGUAAUGAUGGAUAAUUGCCUAUGUUUUAUGGAAUCUGCAGAACAACUUCACAAACUUUAAUAUUUUUAUCAACAUUUUUUAUUUAUGGUAUGAAACAAUAAUAUUAAUUUUAAUAUGUUUGUGUUUGAAAUAGUCAUUUAACAAACAAUGUAAUAAAGACAAAGGUAAAUCAUG
rnacentral:misc_RNA from 1 species